rnacentral:rRNA from 1 species
GGAUGACGGGAGCUUGCUCCUUGAUUCAGCGGCGGACGGGUGAGUAAUGCCUAGGAAUCUGCCUGGUAGUGGGGGACAACGUUUCGAAAGGAACGCUAAUACCGCAUACGUCCUACGGGAGAAAGCAGGGGACCUUCGGGCCUUGCGCUAUCAGAUGAGCCUAGGUCGGAUUAGCUAGUUGGUGGGGUAAUGGCUCACCAAGGCGACGAUCCGUAACUGGUCUGAGAGGAUGAUCAGUCACACUGGAACUGAGACACGGUCCAGACUCCUACGGGAGGCAGCAGUGGGGAAUAUUGGACAAUGGGCGAAAGCCUGAUCCAGCCAUGCCGCGUGUGUGAAGAAGGUCUUCGGAUUGUAAAGCACUUUAAGUUGGGAGGAAGGGCAGUAAGCUAAUACCUUGCUGUUUUGACGUUACCGAC